AACGAGACCUUAACCAGCUAAAUAGCCAGGCCGGCUUUGGCUGGUCGUCGGGUUCUUAGAGGGACUAACGGCGUCUAGCCGUUGGAAGUUUGAGGCAAUAACAGGUCUGUGAUGCCCUUAGAUGUUCUGGUCCGCACGCGCGCUACACUGACUGAGCCAGCGAGUUUAUCACCUUGUCCGAGAGGCUUG
rnacentral:rRNA from 1 species